rnacentral:snRNA from 14 species
GGCUUUGUGCAGUGGUAGUAUCGUAGCCAAUGAGGUUUAUCCGAGGGGUGAUUAUUGCUAACUGAAAACUUUUCCCAGACAUGAUACCUUUAAUAAUCUAUUGCACCUACCUUACACAGCAUUAAUAACAUCGGUG